rnacentral:rRNA from 1 species
UGGUAAUGCCGGAUGCUCCAGUUGAUCGCAUGGUGUUCUGGGAAAGCCUUUGCGGCAUGGGAUGGGGUCGCGUCCUAUCAGCUUGAUGGCGGGGUAACGGCCCACCAUGGCUUCGACGGGUAGCCGGCCUGAGAGGGCGACCGGCCACAUUGGGACUGAGAUACGGCCCAGACUCCUACGGGAGGCAGCAGUGGGGAAUAUUGCACAAUGGGCGCAAGCCUGAUGCAGCGACGCCGCGUGAGGGAUGGAGGCCUUCGGGUUGUAAACCUCUUUUGUUAGGGAGCAAGGCAUUUUGUGUUGAGUGUACCUUUCGAAUAAGCACCGGCUAACUACGUGCCAGCAGCCGCGGUAAUACGUAGGGUGCAAGCGUUAUCCGGAAUUAUUGGGCGUAAAGGGCUCGUAGGCGGUUCGUCGCGUCCGGUGUGAAAGUCCAUCGCUUAACGGUGGAUCCGCGCCGGGUACGGGCGGGCUUGAGUGCGGUAGGGGAGACUGGAAUUCCCGGUGUAACGGUGGAAUGUGUAGAUAUCGGGAAAGAACACC